CUUCAAGAUGUCGUACCAUAGUAUUAGUGGUAAUUUUAGAGUUAUUUUUGGGAUAAAAUAGAACAAAUGACAUAUUUGUUUGCUCAGCUAAUUGAUCAAAAAAAGAUAAUUUGUAAUUUUGGAGGUGAUUUGGUGUUGGUGAGGAUGGUUUUAUGAGUUUUUUGGACAUGAUUUUAACUUGAAUUUGGUCAUUAAAAUCCAUUUUUU